UGGGGAAUAUUGCACAAUGGGCGCAAGCCUGAUGCAGCCAUGCCGCGUGUGUGAAGAAGGCCUUCGGGUUGUAAAGCACUUUUGGCAGGAAAGAAACGUCGCGGGUUAAUACCCCGCGAAACUGACGGUACCUGCAGAAUAAGCACCGGCUAACUACGUGCCAGCAGCCGCGGUAAUACGUAGGGUGCAAGCGUUAAUCGGAAUUACUGGGCGUAAAGCGUGCGCAGGCGGUUCGGAAAGAAAGAUGUGAAAUCCCAGAGCUUAACUUUGGAACUGCAUUUUUAACUACCGGGCUAGAGUGUGUCAGAGGGAGGUGGAAUUCCGCGUGUAGCAGUGAAAUGCGUAGAUAUGCGGAGGAACACCGAUGGCGAAGGCAGCCUCCUGGGAUAACACUGACGCUCAUGCACGAAAGCGUGGGGAGCAAACAGGAUUAGAUACCCUGGUAGUCCACGCCCUAAACGAUGUCAACUAGCUGUUGGGGCCUUCGGGCCUUGGUAGCGCAGCUAACGCGUGAAGUUGACCGCCUGGGGAGUACGGUCGCAAGAUUAAAAGCUUAAAUGAUUGACGGGGGUCAUAGCUGUUUU
rnacentral:rRNA from 1 species